rnacentral:rRNA from 1 species
CCCUGGGAAUGAUAGGAAAACUGGCAAGCUAGAGAAUAGCAGAGGUAACUGGAAUUUCUUGUGUAGGAGUGAAAUCCGUAGAUAUAAGAAGGAACACCAAUGGCGAAGGCAGGUUACUGGGCUAUUUCUGACGCUAAGGCUCGAAAGCGUGGGGAGCGAACGGGAUUAGAUACCCCGGUAGUCCACGCCGUAAACGAUGGAUACUAGCUCAUGGGAGGUAUCGACCCCUUCCGUAGCGAAGCUAACGCGUUAAGUAUCCCGCCUGGGGAGUACGGUCGCAAGAUUAAAACUCAAAGGAAUUGACGGGGACCCGCACAAGCGGUGGAGCGUGUUCUUUAAUUGGAUGAUAAGCCAAGAACCUUACCCAGACUUGACAUCCUUGGAAGGUCUACGAAAGUAGACUGUGCCUUUGGAACCAAGUGACAGGUGUUGCAUGGCCGUCGUCAGCUCGUGUCGUGAGAUGUUAGGUUAAGUCCUUCAACGAGCGCAACCCUUGUGAUUAGUUGUAUUUUUCUAAUCAGACUGCCUCGGUAACGGGGAGGAAGGAGGGGAUGAUGUCAGGUCCGUAUUGCCCUUACGUCUGGGGCUAGAAACGCGCUACAAUGGCCGGUACAAUGGGCAGCCAACCCGCGAGGGGGAGCUAAUCCCACCAAAGCCGGUCCCAGUUCGGAUAGCAGGCUGAAACUCGCCUGCUUGAAGUCGGAAUCGCUAGUAACCGUAGGUCAUCACACUACGGUGAAUACGUUCCCGGGUCUUGUACACACCGCCCGUCAUAACACGAAAGCUGGAAGCGCCCGAAGUCUGCUUAUUAGCGGCCUAAGGUGAGACCAGUGAUUGGGUUAAAGUCGUAACAAGGUAACCGUA